UUUUGAAUUCCCUUUCAAAGGAAAUCGCAGACAGUGUUGAAUAUGUCGCCAACUCGGAGGAACUUUGGAAAGAACUGCAGGACCGAUAUGAUCUAACCAAUGGAGCGAAAUUGCAUCAAAUUCAGAAAGAGAUAAAUGAUUUAAGUCAAGGUGCCUUGGACAUUACUGGUUACUACACCAGAAUGAAGAAAUUGUGGGAAGAACUCAGUACCUUAGCAGCUAAUCACAUAUGCAACUGUCGAUGCACAUGUGGUGCCAAAGAUAUCAUGUAUAAGGCUGAACAGGACAGGCGCUUGAUCCAAUUUCUCAUGGGGCUAAACGAGGUUUACACAAUAAUGAGAGGAAGCAUUCUCAUGAUGACUCAUCUACCCUCCAUGGGACAAGCAUUUGCAUUUCUUGUGCAGGAAGAAAAACAAAGGGAAAUCAGACCACAACCAGAUGUUUGUUGAAUCUGCUUCUGUAGCUGUAAGUACUUCAGGCACUAAGACCUUCAAAACGAACUACACAUCCAACACCAACACUAAUGAAGCCAGCUCUAGUAGGUCUAGACUCUUUUGUGAGUACUGUAAGAGAUCGGGACACAUAAAAGACAAGUGUUACAGACUACAUGGAUACCCUUCUCAGCCAAAUCAAGGACAAGGUCAGAUCUCACAGAACAAUUCAUACAACCAGAGGAACUAUGGAUACAAUCCACCUACAAACAAUCAAAAGAACACAAUUAAUGGCUACAACAACAGGUUUAACAAGGGGAAAUGAAUAGCUGCAAAUACACAUUCUGAUAUGAAUCUUAUCAAGAGUGAGGAACCACCAUAUGAGAAUCAUCAGGGAACACAACUGUCCAAGGAACAAUAUGAUCAACUGAUGAACAUGCUGCAACACUUCAAUAAUUCUGAUCCACGCAGUGACACUCAAACUAGUGGAGCUGCAAACUUUGCAGGUACUAUUGCUUGCUCAUCUUCUGUGAAUUUUGAUAAACUGUCUUGUGGAUGUUUCAAAGAAAAGGCUGACUUAUGGAUCCUAGACUCAGGAGCAUCUCAUCAUAUGACUUUCAAUAGACAACACCUCACUAAUAUCCUACAAUUACCUUACCAUUUACUAGUGAAACUACCAAAUGGUUACAAUGUGAAGGUGACAAAAGUAGGCAAUGUGGUAUUAUCAUCUAAGAUCACUCUAUAUAAG
rnacentral:lncRNA from 1 species